rnacentral:rRNA from 1 species
GGGCCCGCACAAGCGGUGGAGCAUGUGGUUUAAUUCGAAGCAACGCGAAGAACCUUACCAGGUCUUGACAUCCCUUGACCACCUCAGAGAUGAGGUUUCUCUUCGGAGCAAGGAGACAGGUGGUGCAUGGUUGUCGUCAGCUCGUGUCGUGAGAUGUUGGGUUAAGUCCCGCAACGAGCGCAACCCUUGCCUUUAGUUGCCAUCAUUAAGUUGGGCACUCUAGAGGGACUGCCGGUGACAAACCGGAGGAAGGUGGGGAUGACGUCAAAUCAUCAUGCCCCUUAUGUCCUGGGCUACACACGUGCUACAAUGGUCUGCACAGAGGGAAGCGAAGCAGUGAUGUGAAGCGAAUCCCAGAAAACAGAUCUCAGUUCGGAUUGUAGGCUGCAACUCGCCUACAUGAAGGUGGAAUCGCUAGUAAUCGCAGGUCAGCAUACUGCGGUGAAUACGUUCCCGGGCCUU